CAUGAAAUCCAAACACAGUCGAAUGAGGAAAGACAGCUGUCCAUCACUGCAUUCAUGACUGCAGAUAAAAUAAAAGAACAUGUAACAUGAGACUGAUAACGGCGACAGACGACAAGAAGAAAUUUUCAUGGUUUCUUCUGCUAUUCAUGACCCCAUCAGAACAGACCUGUGACCCACCAGUUGAGAAUCGCUGUCCUAACGGAUAAAGUCUAAAUUCUCAAUUCUUUUUCCAAACCCUCAGGCUGAUAUUAUAUUACAAUGACUGUUAGGAUGGAUUCACUGGGUCUGAAAAUCAAUAAUGCCCGUGAAUCUCAUCUAGCUUUGAAGAUUACACCAUUAUUACAGC